rnacentral:rRNA from 1 species
UUGGGGAAUUUUCCGCAAUGGGCGAAAGCCUGACGGAGCAACGCCGCGUGAGGGACGAAGGCCUCUGGGCUGUAAACCUCUUUUCUCAAGGAAGAAGAUAUGACGGUACUUGAGGAGUAAGCCACGACUAAUUCCGUGCCAGCAGCCGCGGUAAUACGGGAGUGGCAAGCGUUAUCCGGAAUUAUUGGGCGUAAAGCGUCCGCAGGCGGCUUUUCAAGUCUGCUGUUAAAGCGUGGAGCUUAACUCCAUCAUGGCAGUGGAAACUGAAAGGCUUGAGUAUGGUAGGGGCAGAGGGAAUUCCCGGUGUAGCGGUGAAAUGCGUAGAUAUCGGGAAGAACACCAGUGGCGAAGGCGCUCUGCUGGGCCAUUACUGACGCUCAUGGACGAAAGCCAGGGGAGCGAAAGGGAUUAGAUACACCCCGAUAUUCA